rnacentral:rRNA from 2 species
GAUUGGUGCUUGCAUCAUGAUUUACAUUUGAGUGAGUGGCGAACUGGUGAGUAACACGUGGGAAACCUGCCCAGAAGCGGGGGAUAACACCUGGAAACAGAUGCUAAUACCGCAUAACAACUUGGACCGCAUGGUCCGAGUUUGAAAGAUGGCUUCGGCUAUCACUUUUGGAUGGUCCCGCGGCGUAUUAGCUAGAUGGUGGGGUAACGGCUCACCAUGGCAAUGAUACGUAGCCGACCUGAGAGGGUAAUCGGCCACAUUGGGACUGAGACACGGCCCAAACUCCUACGGGAGGCAGCAGUAGGGAAUCUUCCACAAUGGACGAAAGUCUGAUGGAGCAACGCCGCGUGAGUGAAGAAGGGUUUCGGCUCGUAAAACUCUGUUGUUAAAGAAGAACAUAUCUGAGAGUAACUGUUCAGGUAUUGACGGUAUUUAACCAGAAAGCCACGGCUAACUACGUGCCAGCAGCCGCGGUAAUACGUAGGUGGCAAGCGUUGUCCGGAUUUAUUGGGCGUAAAGCGAGCGCAGGCGGUUUUUUAAGUCUGAUGUGAAAGCCUUCGGCUCAACCGAAGAAGUGCAUCGGAAACUGGGAAACUUGAGUGCAGAAGAGGACAGUGGAACUCCAUGUGUAGCGGUGAAAUGCGUAGAUAUAUGGAAGAACACCAGUGGCGAAGGCGGCUGUCUGGUCUGUAACUGACGCUGAGGCUCGAAAGUAUGGGUAGCAAACAGGAUUAGAUACCCUGGUAGUCCAUACCGUAAACGAUGAAUGCUAAGUGUUGGAGGGUUUCCGCCCUUCAGUGCUGCAGCUAACGCAUUAAGCAUUCCGCCUGGGGAGUACGGCCGCAAGGCUGAAACUCAAAGGAAUUGACGGGGGCCCGCACAAGCGGUGGAGCAUGUGGUUUAAUUCGAAGCUACGCGAAGAACCUUACCAGGUCUUGACAUACUAUGCAAAUCUAAGAGAUUAGACGUUCCCUUCGGGGACAUGGAUACAGGUGGUGCAUGGUUGUCGUCAGCUCGUGUCGUGAGAUGUUGGGUUAAGUCCCGCAACGAGCGCAACCCUUAUUAUCAGUUGCCAGCAUUAAGUUGGGCACUCUGGUGAGACUGCCGGUGACAAACCGGAGGAAGGUGGGGAUGACGUCAAAUCAUCAUGCCCCUUAUGACCUGGGCUACACACGUGCUACAAUGGAUGGUACAACGAGUUGCGAACUCGCGAGAGUAAGCUAAUCUCUUAAAGCCAUUCUCAGUUCGGAUUGUAGGCUGCAACUCGCCUACAUGAAGUCGGAAUCGCUAGUAAUCGCGGAUCAGCAUGCCGCGGUGAAUACGUUCCCGGGCCUUGUACACACCGCCCGUCACACCAUGAGAGUUUGUAACACCCAAAGUCGG